rnacentral:rRNA from 1 species
GCAUAACGCGAAGAACCUUACCAGGACUUGACAUCUCCGGAAUCCCCCAGAAAUGGGAGAGUGCCGUAAGGAGCCGGAUGACAGGUGCUGCACGGUCGUCGUUAGCUCGUGCUGUGAAGUGUCCCGUUAAGUCGGUUAACGAGCGCAACCCCUAUCGUAUGUUAAAUUUCUCAUACGAGACUGCCGACGUUAAGUCGGAGGAAGGUGGGGAUGACGUCAGAUCAGCGUGGCUCUUACGUCCUGGGCCACACACGUGUUACAAUGGAUAGCAACAAUGGGUUGCCAAGCUGCAAAGCGGAGCUAAUCCCAUCAAACCUAUCCUCAAUUCGGAUUGAGGGCUGCAACUCGCCCUCAUGAAGUCGGAAUCGCUAGUAAUCGUGGGUCAGCCAUACCACGGUGAAUACGUUCUCGGGUCUUGUACACACCG